GCGAACGCUGGCGGCAGGCCUAACACAUGCAAGUCGAGCGGAUGUAGCAAUACAUCAGCGGCAGACGGGAGAGUAACACGUGGGAACGCGCCCUUCGGUUCGGAAUAACUCAGGGAAACUUGAGCUAAUACCGGAUACGCCCUUACGGGGAAAGAUUUAUUGCCGAAGGAACGGCCCGCGUCCGAUUAGCUUGUUGGUGAGGUAAUGGCUCACCAAGGCGACGAUCGGUAGCUGGUCUGAGAGGAUGACCAGCCUCACUGGGACUGAGACACGGCCCAGACUCCUACGGGAGGCAGCAGUGGGGAAUAUUGGACAAUGGGCGCAAGCCUGAUCCAGCCAUGCCGCGUGGGUGAUGAAGGCCCUAGGGUUGUAAAGCCCUUUCGGCGGGGAAGAUAAUGACGGUACCCGCAGAAGAAGCCCCGGCUAACUUCGU
rnacentral:rRNA from 1 species